rnacentral:tRNA from 1 species
CCUUCGAUAGCUCAGUUGUAGAGUGGAGGACUGUAGAUCCUUAGGUCGCUGGUUCAAAUCCGGCUUGAAGGA